AUUGAACGCUGGUGGCAGGCCUAACACAUGCAAGUCGAACGUGUGGCGGACGGAAGAGUAAUGUCUGGGAAACUGCCUGACGGAGGGGGACAACUACUGGCAACGGUAACUAAUACCGCAUAUCAUCGGAUGUGCCCAGAUGGGCUUAGCUAGCAGGUGGGGUAACGGCUCACCUAGACGACUAUCACUAGCUGGUCUGAGAGGAUGACCAGCCACAGUGGAACUGAGACACGGUCCAGAAUCCUACGGGAGGCAGCAGUGAGGAAUAUUGCACAAUGGGCGCAAGCCUGAUGCAUCCAUGCCGCGUGUAUGAAGAAGGCCUUCGGGUUGUAAAGUACUUUCAGCGGGGAGGCGUUACCCGCAGAAGAAGCACCGGCUAACUCCGUGCCAGCAGCCGCGGUAAUAC
rnacentral:rRNA from 1 species